rnacentral:lncRNA from 1 species
GAGACAGAGAUCCGAAGCCGGUGAGUCUCCGGUCACCGGCCUCCGGCGCGAAGCCGGUGAACCAUGAUGGCAGCAGUGACGGCGUCGUGGCUCGAAGUCGAAAUAGAGACCGCGGGGAGGUCGGUAGCUACGGUUACCACUUAGCAAGUGUUAUCUAUUUCGUUGUUUAGAAUGUUAUAGAGGUAUGGGGUAUUAAUGCCCAAUUAUUUGAGAUAAGACGUAAGGUGAUGUGAUGCUUGGUUGCACACUUGACUGUGUGCUUCUAGGCAACGUUUUGUGCAUUAUGUUCGCAUGAGGAGUCCUAACUUGAGUUACGAAUGUCGCUGUGAACGUAUCUUUUGCUUGCACAAGCGGUUAGCAUGCAACCAUGAUAGGAGUACACCAUAACAACAAUAAAACCUUCAGAGACAGAGAUCCGAAUCCGGUGAGUCUCAGAGACAGAGAUCCGAAGCCGGUGAGUCUCCGGUCACCG